rnacentral:rRNA from 1 species
CUGCUGCCUCCCGUAGGAGUCUGGGCCGUGUCUCAGUCCCAGUGUGUCCGUCCGCCCUCUCAGGCCGGAUACUGAUCGUCGCCUUGGUGGGCCGUUACCUCACCAACUAGCUAAUCAGACGCGGGCCCCUCUCCAAACGCCAGGUCUUGCGAUCCCCGGCUUUGAUCUCCACCUGUUCAAAGGCAGGAUGUUAUGCGGUAUUAGCGUCCCUUUCGGGACGUUAUCCCCCAUUCGAAGGUAGGUCACCCACGCGUUACUCACCCGUUUGCCACUCUACUCAUGGAUUGCUCCACUUUCGCGUUCGACUUGCAUGUGUUAGGCACGCCGCCAGCGUUGAUUCUGAGCCAGGAUCA